rnacentral:tRNA from 1 species
UGCGGGGUGGCAGCAGUGGUAGCUCGUUGGGCUCAUAACCCAAAGGUCGUCGGUUCGAGUCCGGCCCCCGCUAC